UACGUAGGGGGCGAGCGUUGUCCGGAUUUACUGGGCGUAAAGCGCGUGUAGGCGGCUUCUUGAGUCGGGUGUGAAAGCCCGGGGCUCAACCCCGGAGUGCCGCCCGAGACUGGGAAGCUUGAGGACGGAAGAGGGGCGUGGAAUUCCUGGUGUAGCGGUGAAAUGCGUAGAGAUCAGGAGGAACACCCGUGGCGAAGGCGGCGCCCUGGUCCGUCCCUGACGCUGAGACGCGAAAGCGCGGGGAGCGAACGGG
rnacentral:rRNA from 1 species